CCUACGGGUGGCUGCAGUGGGGAAUAUUGGACAAUGGGGGCAACCCUGAUCCAGCCAUGCCGCGUGUGUGAAGAAGGCCCUCGGGUUGUAAAGCACUUUCAGUGAGGAAGAACGCCUGGUGGUUAAUACCCAUCAGGAAAGACAUCACUCACAGAAGAAGCACCGGCUAACUCCGUGCCAGCAGCCGCGGUAAUACGGAGGGUGCGAGCGUUAAUCGGAAUUACUGGGCGUAAAGCGCGCGUAGGUGGCUUGAUAAGCCGGUUGUGAAAGCCCCGGGCUCAACCUGGGAACGGCAUCCGGAACUGUCAAGCUAGAGUGCAGGAGAGGAAGGUAGAAUUCCCGGUGUAGCGGUGAAAUGCGUAGAGAUCGGGAGGAAUACCAGUGGCGAAGGCGGCCUUCUGGACUGACACUGCCACUGAGGUGCGAAAGCGUGGGUAGCAAACAGGAUUAGAUACCCGUGUAGUC
rnacentral:rRNA from 1 species